rnacentral:rRNA from 1 species
GAUGAACGCUAGCGGCAGGCCUAACACAUGCAAGUCGAGGGGCAGCACAGAAACAGCAAUGUUUUGGUGGCGACCGGCGGACGGGUGCGUAACGAGUAUGCAAACUACCUUUAACAGGGGGAUAACGGAGAGAAAUUUCCACUAAUACCCCAUAACAUCGAUCAAGGCAUCUUGAUUGGUUGAAAACUCAGGUGGUUAAAGAUGGGCAUGCGUUGUAUUAGGUAGUUGGUGAGGUAAUGGCUCACCAAGCCUACGAUACAAAGGGGGACUGAGAGGUUAGCCCCCCACACUGGUACUGAGACACGGACCAGACUCCUACGGGAGGCAGCAGUGAGGAAUAUUGGUCAAUGGGGGCAACCCUGAACCAGCCAUGCCGCGUGCAGGAAGACGGCUCUAUGAGUUGUAAACUGCUUUUAAACAGGGAUAAAGCACAGUAUGUAUACUGUGUUGAAGGUACUGUAAGAAUAAGGAUCGGCUAACUCCGUGCCAGCCGCCGCCGUAA